AAAUCGUCUUCGUCUUCGUCUUUAACUUCGGCUUCGGCUUAGCUGCGGUUGCGCGUGCGUCGCUUCGUCUUAGGCGCGUGAAAGAGAGGGAGGGAGAGCUUGAGCCGAGAGCUGCGGCGAAGUCGCUUUAAGCUCAACUUCGACUUCGAGUUCGACUUCGGCUUCGACCACGAAUUCAGUUGCCGUGCAGAACGCGAAGCGAACGGAACAUCGCGGCUGUUCGAUCACAAAUUCCAUUAAUUUUUUUCUUGUUUGCUCAUUUUGAACACGAAUUUCAAUCGCGUCUAACGGUCUGACGCGCCUAACGGCAUGUUGAAACAUUUAUAACAUUUGCACAUUUAACAACGAGUUUCGUGUAAACAAAGUCAGCGAAAAGCAAAG